UUUUUUUUUUAUGUCAUAUUUUUACGUCAAUAAUCAGAGGUUAAAAAGAGAGAGGAAAGGGGAAAUGAGCUGGAAAUGACGCCGUUCUGGUUAUAAAUGAGGCUGCUAAACCUUCCUCCUUUCUCUUCAUGUGUCAUUUGGUUUCAGCUGAUGAGUUGUCCUGCGCUACGGUGUUGUUAUGGUGAUGUCAGUCAGAAUGGCUCUUCUUCUUCCUCUCAUCUUUUCUCUCAUGAUCCACAGGGUUUUUAGUACUGAUUGGGGUGUGACUUACAGUCCUUCACACAUCUG